UCUCUCUCUCUCUCUCUCUCUCUCUCUCUCUCUCUCUCUCUCUCUCUCUCUAGAUGUGUCAGGGAGAGGGCAGUCAGAGUGGGGGUCAGUUCCAGGGUCGGCCCAGUGAGGUCUGGUCCCAAUGGCAGAACCAGCACCAUGGCCAACAGGGAGGAGAGCCACACUCUCACCCCAACCCCUCCCAGACAGAGGUGUUCCAGGACAUGUUGCCGAUGGCAGGAGACCCAACACAAGGAACAGCCAACUACAACAUUGAAGACUUUGCUGAUCUGGGCAUGUUCCCUCCCUUCUCUGAGUAGAACUCUUUAACGUUCUAUCAAUGGAACACUGCUCUGUUCUUUCACUAGAACCCUCUGAUAGAGGAAAAGGAAUCGAACACAAUGUGCUGGUUCCUUCAUGGCUCCCCAACCUCACACACACACACACACUUUAUCACACAGUGAAUGUCCAGAUGCACCCUCUCAUAAACACACACACACUCCUUUACGAGAAGAGAGUUGGUUCUAUAGAAGACUGGUACAUUGCUAGUGGUGUACUGACCUUUUCCUUUGUAAUAAUGUCUUCUUCAUUCACUUAAAUGAUGCCUGUUCUUUUAACAAAGGCUUGUGAAUUUAAAGGUGCAAUCUGUAACUUUCAUUUCCCCUAGUGGCAUCUUGAAGUACUACAAAAUAUGCCAAGAAGCAGUAAAAAAAUACAAAGCCUAGAAAAUUCACCAGUGCAGAACCCCCUCCCCCCCCUCCCCUUCCGUUUGCAAACAAUUGCAGAGGCAGGCAGCACUUUGGGGGGGUAACAAAAAUGACAGAUUGCACCUUUUAAGCUGCCAAUAUCCACUUUGCACUCCACUCUGCCAAACUGCUCCAGGCUAAGAGACACUCACCACGCUGAUCAGUUGGUACCAUCGAUACAUAUUAUCAUACAGUAUGUCACUGCUGCUCCUCCCUCAGUAUCACAUUAAGCUUUAUGCUGUAAAUUAUACCUAUAUGUAGUGAUGUUCAUAACACCUAGAUAAAACCUACGGAAGUCUAGAAGGAUUCUGUGUAGAAAAAAUACAAAUAAAGAUUCCACUCACCGGCAAAAGUGGCUAAGCUACAAUGCUUAAGUGCACUUCAUCGAAGCUAACCGCUAAAACUCACCAGCUUGCUAAAAAGGGAAAAGCGCCAUACCGCCAAAGCAACGCAGUACAGUAUAUAUACUAGUUUAGUGUAUCCUUGUGGCUCUCGCUGCUCUACUUUAUAACUUUAUUAUAUUAUUCUCUUUUCUGAUUAUUAACAGAGACUGAAUUCUACUUUAUAGCGAGGGAACUUUUACAUGAUAGCUUGUGUACCGUGUCUCUGGUUAAUGACUGAUGGGACAGAAUGAUAGAUUGUGUACCGUGUCUCUGGUUAAUGACUGAUGGGACAGAUUCUACAACUGGAAUCCUUUUGCUAAAAAAAAAAUCUAAAAAUGUAUGUUUUUGUAAAUAAUGUGAUUUUUCUGUUGACUCGUUACUUUUACACAGUAUACAUUGUUUUUGUGUAGGUUUAUGUAGGUGUCAUCAAUGUGUGCAAUGUGAGUACAUAUUUAACUAUCGGUAUUUAGUUUAGUCUUAAUUGUACAUUGAGUUUAAGGAACCUGUAUAAAAGUGUGUAAAUGUUACCCAUUAUUUUUGUUUAACACAUUUCUGUGCUUGUGAAAAUAAAUGUUUAUUGGUUA